CUUCCUUCGGGGCAUGAUGAAAUGCAGUGAGAUACACUGUUAAGUAUUAAAUAUUAAUUGAAGGGUUAGUAUGUAAGUGUAGAUAAGUUGCAAACUUGCAGCUGCUGCGGUAAUAAAGAACUGGUAGAAGAAAAGAUACCAGUUCAGUGGUG